UCCUGGUGGCGAGCGGCGGACGGGUGAGUAAUGCAUAGAAAUCUGCCCGGUAGUGGGGGAUAACCUGGGGAAACCCAGGCUAAUACCGCAUACGUCCUACGGGAGAAAGCAGGGGAUCUUCGGACCUUGCGCUAUCGGAUGAGUCUAUGUCGGAUUAGCUUGUUGGUGAGGUAAUGGCUCACCAAGGCGACGAUCCGUAGCUGGUCUGAGAGGAUGAUCAGCCACAUCGGGACUGAGACACGGCCCGAACUCCUACGGGAGGCAGCAGUGGGGAAUAUUGGACAAUGGGCGAAAGCCUGAUCCAGCCAUGCCGCGUGUGUGAAGAAGGCCUUCGGGUUGUAAAGCACUUUCAGUGGGGAAGAAAGCCUUGGGGCUAAUACCCUCGAGGAAGGACAUCACCCACAGAAGAAGCACCGGCUAACUCCGUGCCAGCAGCCGCGGUAAUACGGAGGGUGCGAGCGUUAAUCGGAAUUACUGGGCGUAAAGCGCGCGUAGGCGGUCUGAUAAGCCGGUUGUGAAAGCCCCGGGCUCAACCUGGGAACGGCAUCCGGAACUGUCAGGCUAGAGUGCAGGAGAGGAAGGUAGAAUUCCCGGUGUAGCGGUGAAAUGCGUAGAGAUCGGGAGGAAUACCAGUGGCGAAGGCGGCCUUCUGGACUGACACUGACGCUGAGGUGCGAAAGCGUGGGUAGCAAACAGGAUUAGAUACCCUGGUAGUCCACGCCGUAAACGAUGUCGACUAGCCGUUGGGCUCCUUGAGAGCUUUGUGGCGCAGUUAACGCGAUAAGUCGACCGCCUGGGGAGUACGGCCGCAAGGUUAAAACUCAAAUGAAUUGACGGGGGCCCGCACAAGCGGUGGAGCAUGUGGUUUAA
rnacentral:rRNA from 1 species